GCCGGGCCGCACGCAUUGCCAAAGGACAUUGGCACUGUCCCUACUGACUGGACUCGUGUGAUUGCUGCAGAGCCUUUCUGUAGCUAGGAAUGUUUAAAAUGUGCUGACAAAGGCACCUGUGGCAGUGGUGUUGUCCAGCGCAUGAAGUGAUCACUGCUGGAAGAAUUCCAGAGAAAUCCAGGACCAGGGGUUGUGGCAACUCUUUUUGCAACUGUGCCAGUGUCUCAAUUUUCACAAACAGGAUUAUUUCAUUACCCAUAUUUGGAAUUACUCUGGAUUGGAGGGAGGCCUGGCCUUAGGUAAGGAGAAGGCUGGCCAAUUGGUGGCAACACUCUGGGCCUCUGCUUCUCACAGCAUCAAUAAAUUUGGCCAAGCCAGAAAGGCUGACGAGUUUUUCAUCAAAGUGUGAAAGUUUUACCCAAACAAUUUGGAAUAUGGCUGCAGGAUGCUGAGGGAAUUGUCACAAGCUGUCCACAGGGCCAGGCUAUGAUUGCUGGAUUGGGUCCUGGAGCCAACCCCAGUGGUUCAGGGCCCCUGCAGCUGUGGCAAACUGAUGUGACCAUCUGCGCCUCUUUGGGUUGCUUUAAACGCAUUCAUGUGACCACAGACACCUUUUCUGCCAUGGCUUGGGCCACUCCUGUGACAAGUGAAGGCUCUGGCUUUGGCAUUCCACACUGGCCAGGCUGCUUUGCUGUUAUGGGCUUGCCUCAGGAAAUCAGAACACACAACGGGGCAGGAUACACAGCCUGGCAAACCCAGGAUUUCUCAGCUCCUUGGGGAGUGAAGCAUAGCACAGGCAUUCCAGGGAACUCCACACGUCAGCUGUCAUCAAAAGGACACAUCAGGUCCUGAAAGGACUGCUUGAUAAACAAAAAAUGGGGCAGGAUGGGCUGAGCCCACAGGACAGAGUGCUGAAAGCCGUCCACGCUAUGAAUCCUCUGUGGUUAGUAGGCAAUCACAGUGAACCACCAGCAUUAACACAUUACUCAGGUUUGCAGCAAGAUUCUGAAUUGGUACAGCAUCGGCCAGAAGUUUAUUUUAAAAAUCCUAGGACAGGGUUAUGGGAAGGACCUGCAGAUUUACUGAUGUGGGGAAGGGGUUAUGUUUGUGGCAUUACAGACAAAGAACCCUGAUGGAUACCAGCAAAGUGGGUUCAUCUCUGGCUAGAAAAGGACACUCUGAUCCCUAAUACCACUAAUGAACCUACAACCAGCAACACCUGAAAACAUCCAUUGCCCUCAGAGCUGGAAAUGCUUUUGUUAUCCUUGGGUGAGAUUAGAAUGAGUGGGUGUGGAGCACACAGGUGGUGUGAGUUUGAGGGAGGAAGCUUUGCAAGGUGUGGGGUGUGCAGCUGUUGGCACAGCCAAGAAUUCAAUACCUGGGUGGUGUUAUCCCAAGUGACAGGAAGAACAGGAAAUUCCCCUGAAGCUGCUCAAGAAGCACUGAGCUUGUUUGAAAAUCAAGAGCAAUUGGGGCAGGCUAUUCAGUGGUAUCGUAGUGAACUCCAGAAGCUUGAGCAGAAAGAGAGAGAAUAAAAUCAAGGAUAUUGAGUGUGGUAAGGAAAUAUUUAUCCCUAGGACCUGGGGAGUUAGACCUGAUCAGAGGGAACAAAGAAAGAGAAGCUGGAAAGAAAGGAACCAGGAAAGAAGGAACAGAGGAAGGGCUCAAAGAGCAAGAGGCACAGUUAGUUCAGAUUUUGUCCCUGAUCUCAGAGGGGAAGGGUUCUUUACCAAUGAGCAAGAUGAAGAACAGCUUUAAAUUAGAGAGGUGGGGUUUUGGGAGAUUUUUUUCUACUGGCUGUAGUAUGUGGUAACAUCUGUAGUGCAGAGGAAAUUAACCCACCAGGAUGGCACUGACAGAAUAUGUGGCUUACUUGGGCCAAGGCUGCUGGGGUGGAUUCCUCUCGUUUAUCCUUGGCCAUGCCCGGAGAUCCCUUCCGCACAGGUCUAAUUGGUAUCCCAGUGAGUGAUUUUACUGGUUUUGCAAGGUGGGUAGGAGCUAGAGGAAAGCCAUACGUGGAAGCAAAUAGAUCAAGCAUGGAGAAUCAUUGGUGUAACAUCAGCAGAGGUGGUACAAAAUUGGACAGAUGCAAAAGGCCGGGAAUUAAGCCAAAGGGCGAAGGCUUCCAAGCAGGUAUGAUAACACACACAAUCCCUGAAUGAAACCGGACUAGAACCCCAAGAACCAGACCUGUUAGGAUCAGCUCCUGGAAAUUACUGCUUGUUUUUUAACUACUUUCUGGAAGCAAAAAUAACCAAUUUGAGCAAUGUUCUAGUCCCACAUUCCAAGAAUAAUAGUGUCAUCCUUAAUCCCAAUUCUCCAUUAUAUCAGAACAAGGCCAAAUAUUGCCACAAUUGGACUUAUCCUGGCAGUGCUGGUGCAAAUGAGACUGUAAGAAAGCUUCCACUUGGUGUCUUUUUAAUCUGUGGGGACAGAGCCUGGCCUGCAAUUCCAAGUAAUCCCUUUGGUGGAACUUGUUACCUAGGAAAAUUAAGCAUGUUUGCCCCUAGCAUGUGACAAAUGCUGAAUCAGACUAUCUGGAGAGCAGGACACAGCAGAAGAACUAAAAGAGCAGUCACAGGCUUAGGAUCUAAUUGUCAUGAUCAUGUAGAGCUUUGGGGUGCUCCAGCACGAAUCUCAGUAUCAUUCCUUGCUCCAGGUGUUGUGGCUGCUCAGGCUUUGACUACACUGAAUAAGUUGGGAUGCUGGGUAGCUAAACAACUGAACACAGCUUCAGCUGUUCUAAAUCAAAUGCUCACUGGUGUAGAUAGUAUUAGCCAUGGCACACUGCAAAAUAGAGCUGCUGUAGAUUUGUUGUUGUUAGCACAUGGGCACGGGUAUGAGGAGUUGGAAGGAAUGUGUUGUAUGAACCUCUCUGAGCAUUCUGCAUCCAUUCACAGGAAACUCAAACAACUACAGGACAACAUGAAGAGAUUGACUGUGAAUGACUGAGGGUUGGAUGAAUGUUUUAAGGGGUUGGCAAUAACUGGAUGGUUGAAAGAUAUUGUAAAGGGAAUUAUGUUAGUAUUAGUAGUCAUUACUUUAUUGCUUUGUGUUAUUCCAUGCAUAAUUAAGUUGGUGACCCCCUUAGUAGGGAACACAGUAAAGAGGGUCUGGCUGGUGCAAGAAGGGGGAACUGUAGCAAUGUAUUUGAACAACUCAGGCCUCAGUGUGCACCAGCCAUACCCUCUGCAACUGUUCUUAUCAGAAUUGUCUCAGGGCUCUGUGGAAUUCAUCAAGGUGACUGAGAUAUAAACUGUGCUAAAAUAAGCACAAAGAAGCUGAGAAACGGCACACCAGGAUGGCAGGAACUGGAUAACUGGGGACUGUGAAACACCUGCACGGUGACCAAUCACAGAGACUGAGAAAUGGAGGCAGAGAACGAGGGAACGAGACAAAGGCAGGAAGCAAGAAGUGUGAUCUUAGCAGUUUGUAGAAUCCAGAAAAGUGUGUGUAAUGUAAACAAUAAACAGCUUCUGCUUGGUCACACCG